rnacentral:lncRNA from 1 species
UUUAUUGAAGCUAACAUUUAUAAAUAUGGAUUCAACUUUGAAAAUGUUAUAAUUUCUAGUUUGAUUUAGGGUUUAUCUUUUCAGAUACCAAACCCAUUUCGAUAAUAUAUUGGAAUGGUACAUAUUAGUCUAUAUUGGUAUAUUAACACAUGGUAUGCUGGUGGUGUAUACUGGGGGUUUGGCAAGAAAGAAAAAGAGAGAGAAGUGGAAGGGGCGAUGUCAGAACAAAGAAGGAAGGAGGAAGGAAGAAAGAGCGAAGAAGUAGCAAAAGAAGAAGGAAGAAGAAGAAAGAUGAUGAGGAGAAAAAGAAUAGUCGUAGUGUACUUGGGAAGCUACAACAUUA